UACGUAGGGCGCAAGCGUUGUCCGGAAUUAUUGGGCGUAAAGGGCGCGUAGGCGGCGCGGUAAGUCACUUGUGAAAUCUCUGAGCUUAACUCAGAACGGCCAAGUGAUACUGCAGUGCUAGAGUGUGGAAGGGGCAAUCGGAAUUCUUGGUGUAGCGGUGAAAUGCGUAGAUAUCAAGAGGAACACCUGAGGUGAAGACGGGUUGCUGGGCCAACACUGACGCUGAGGCGCGAAAGCCAGGGGAGCAAACGGG
rnacentral:rRNA from 1 species